rnacentral:ncRNA from 1 species
GAGUAGUUUUAUUCUUGCUAUGUUGUUCAGUAUUUCCUUGCUUUAUAUGUAAGUUUUUGCGUGAUUUGUCUUUAUUUCUUAAUGGGUUGGGUAGGAAUUUUUAUGUCGCAUUAUUUAUUAUUAAGUAUCUAAGUUUUUAGGAUUUAGCAAUGGUUUUAGUGCUGGUUAAGUUUGUGCCAGCAGCCGCGGUUAUACAUUAAGCGUUAUUGAAUAUUUUCGGUUGUGCAGUUAAAUUUGUUGCUUUAGACAUGAAUUGCCAUGUUUCUAGGUGGAAUUAUUAAUUUUUAAUAAUUGUCUUUUCAUGUUUUCCAAGCUGUGAAAUCUUUAUUUUAGACUAGGAUUAGAUACCCUAUUAUUUUUGAUGUUAAUUUUUGUUUCCUGGGUAGUAUUAGUUAUGUUCUUGAAACCUAAAGAAUUUGGCGGUAUUUUAUUCCUUUCAGAGGAAUCUGCCCUAUAAUCGAUAAUCCACGUUGUACCUUACUUAAUAUUUUUGUUUGUAUACCGCCGUUAUAAUGAAGAUCUUAUGAGUGUUUUGUAAUUUUCUGGGUUCAAUAGUAUGAUUUAUUUCAGGUCAAGGUGCAGCUUGUUUUUAAGUUUGUGGUGGAUUACAUUGCGUUUUUGGUUUGUGAAUUAUUGGUUGUGAUUAUUGGUAUGAAAUUGGAUUUGAUUGUAAUUUGUUGAAGAUUAUUUUAAUGAUAUUGGUUCUAAAAUAUGUACACAUCGCCCGUCGCUCUCAUUAUUAUUUGAGAUAAGUCGUAACAAAGUGGUCGUACCGGAAGGUGUGGCUGGAAAGUC